rnacentral:rRNA from 1 species
UAGGGAAUCUUCGGCAAUGGACGAAAGUCUGACCGAGCAACGCCGCGUGAGUGAAGAAGGUUUUCGGAUCGUAAAACUCUGUUGUUAGAGAAGAACAAGGACGUUAGUAACUGAACGUCCCCUGACGGUAUCUAACCAGAAAGCCACGGCUAACUACGUGCCAGCAGCCGCGGUAAUACGUAGGUGGCAAGCGUUGUCCGGAUUUAUUGGGCGUAAAGCGAGCGCAGGCGGUUUCUUAAGUCUGAUGUGAAAGCCCCCGGCUCAACCGGGGAGGGUCAUUGGAAACUGGGAGACUUGAGUGCAGAAGAGUAGAGUGGAAUUCCAUGUGUAGCGGUGAAAUGCGUAGAUAUAUGGAGGAACACCAGUGGCGAAGGCGGCUCUCUGGUCUGUAACUGACGCUGAGGCUCGAAAGCGUGGGGAGCAAACAGG